UUACGGCCAUAUAACAUUGAAACACCGGUUCUCAUCCGAUCACAGAUGUUAAGCAACGUUGAACUUAGUCAUUACUUAGAUGGGUGACCGCUCGAGAAUAACAGGUGUUGUAA